GAUGAACGCUGGCGGCGUGCCUAAUACAUGCAAGUCGAGCGAACAGAUGAGGAGCUUGCUCCUCUGACGUUAGCGGCGGAAGGGUGAGUAACACGUGGAUAACCUACCUAUAAGACUGGGAUAACUUCGGGAAACCGGAGCUAAUACCGGAUAAUAUAUUGAACCGCAUGGUUCAAUAGUGAAAGCCGGUUUUGCUGUCACUUAUAGAUGGUUCCGCGCCGCAUUGGCUAGUUGGUAAGGUAACGGCUUACCAAGGCAACGAUGGGUAUCCGACCUGAGAGGGUGAUCGGCCACACUAGAACUGAGACACGGUCCAGACUCCUACGGGAGGCAGCAGUAGGGAAUCUUCCGCAAUGGGCGAAAGCAUGACGGAGCAACGCCGCGUGAGUGAUGAAGGUCUUCGGAUCGUAAAACUCUGUUAUUAGGGAAGAACAAAUGUGUAAGUAACUAUGCACGUCUUGACGGUACCUAAGCAGAAAGCCACGGCUAACUACGUG
rnacentral:rRNA from 1 species